AUGCAUCUCUGACAGACCUGGAGCAGUUAAUAUCUGCUGCUAAGGUUUCCACUACAGAUGCAAGAAAAAGAACGUCCUCACGGUUUUCUGUCUGUCUAGUUGUGGCAGUCAAGAUUGAAUGGGGGAAUCCAGGA
rnacentral:snoRNA from 1 species